UUGAUUGGCUGCCAUCGGAAGAAAAUUUCUAUCGGCGAUUUUCAUUGGUCAACCUCAAAAAGAGUGUUUUUUACCAGACGACAUCUCGAAGUAGGAAAGGCGCUAGGAUACAAACUCGUUAAAAAGUAACCAUAGAAGAAUUGAUAUAAUCUUAUUACAUGCAAAGUUUAAUUUUGCUAAAAAUGCAAUCAUUUCUUCUCGGAGUCGUGUGUUACACUCUCUUAUUUAAAAUAAUAGGUUCCAAAUUGUCUAUUGAGGAGCUCACUCUUAUCACGAUGCCACUGGGAAUACUUGCUGCCGUGUUGUUAGCGUCAUUGCUUCUGAUAAUUUCUGUGGGACUACUGCGAGAAAACAUUUAUUGGCAAUGAACAGCUUUUCACCAGCACAACAUGUACCUACUACACCCUCCUUGAGACACCAUGAACAUGACUGGUGGGAGUCGCCUUAUGCUGUUGUACCAGAAACAGGUGACCCUCUUGAGAAUCCAGGGACGCCUGCAAUAUUGGUACCACGGACUCCACAGCAUCCCGUUCCUAGGUCUCUCUGGAGUACACCUCUACAUGAGGAUAGGGGCACAACACCUACAUUCAUGACUCCUUUAUCUUCAACAACCCCCACCCUCACAUCAUUACCAAGGACCACACCUAGACCAUUUCCGAGAGCAAUGUUCUUCCCGUGCGCCCAUACAUGGGAUCACACCAAUCCCUUCAGGAACGCCACCCCGUGGCAGUUGUUGCAAAACUCUCCGACAGCCAUCACAUCGGGGCGGGGAGCAAAUAGUUCCAUCUACGCCAAAGCUUGACGAAGCGGCUACUCCAACAUCUCAAUAUUGGAUAUCAACGAUAGAAGACAGGCGACAAAGUCCUGGGAGUAGAACACCAAGAGUUUUGUUGUCACCUCAUGUUCCAUCCACCAGUUACAGACAUUUAGACCUGUUUAAUGGGGACGACUACUUUGACUGAGAACGAUGCCAAACUUAGUAUCAAGAGUGUGACCCAGACAAUUCGUUCUUGUGUACGAGUUUGUAGGUCACUGUGGAAAUAAAACAUUUUCCGGGAU